GACAGAGGUGCCGAGCGUUAGGCGGAAUCACUGGGCUUAAAGCGUGUGUAGGUGGAUGUCUAAGUACCUUGUGAAAUCCCACGGCUUAACCGUGGAACGGCUCGGUAUACUGGAUGUCUUGAGCCAGCUAGGGGCUACCGGAACAAAUGGUGGAGCGGUGAAAUGCGUAGAUAUCGUAAGGAAGACCAGUGGCGAAGGCGGGCCUCUGGACAGUUCCUGACGCUGAGGCACGAAGGUCAGGGGAGCAAACGGG
rnacentral:rRNA from 1 species